ensembl:miRNA mdo-mir-7398k-2 mdo-mir-7398k-2
UGUGUGGAGGUAAGGAACUACGUCGUGUUCUAUCUCUCGGUAAAUCCUUGCCUCUCACUGU